rnacentral:rRNA from 1 species
AGAGGGUGCAAGCGUUGCUCGGAAUUAUUGGGCGUAAAGGGUAGGUAGGUGGUCUCAUUUGUGUGGGGUGAAAGCCUUGGGCUUAACUCAAGAAGUGCCCCGCAAACGGUGAGACUGGAGUGCUGGAGAGGCUAGCGGAAUUCCCGGUGUAGCGGUGAAAUGCGUAGAGAUCGGGAGGAACACCAGAGGCGAAGGCGGCUAGCUGGACAGUGACUGACACUCAACUACGAAAGCGUGGGGAGCAAACAGG